rnacentral:lncRNA from 1 species
AAAAGGUACCAUUCUCUUUGUCUCAUUGAGAAGUAUGAUUUUCAUUUUUGAAUAACUUGAUUUCAUUGAGUAUUGAAGAAGUUAUGAACGUUUAAAGUUUACAUAGUUUCCGGGGAGUUUUUCCGUUUUCCCUCGGACUAAUCAACUUUGGGGCUAUUGUCCGGCCAUCUCCGGCAACUAUUGGGCUUCCAAAUAGGUAUAACCUUAUUCUACAUUUUUCUAUCUUCAUUUUGAUAUAUUAUGGGUCAAUUUGGUUAAGAAACGAUUGAGUUACGAAGCUUUGAAAAUUACCCAAACUUCCGGCCAAGAGCUCUGGGACACUUAACAGAGUUUUUAACAGAAGGGCGAAAAUGAUGGAUAGUUGAAUAUCAGAGUGCGCAACGAACAAGAUUACAAAAUAAUAAGAAUAUUAUUAAACAAACUAGAAUGUCGAAACGGCUACAAAACCCUAAGAGCCUACAUUGUGAAUAGUUUGUUUUCUAAUAAAUAACAAAGCACUCUAUUUAUAAUAAACUAACCCUAACCCUAAUGCCAACAGGCUAGGCCCAAACUAAACUUAUAAGAAAACUCAAACAAUAUAAUACCUAAAAUACUAAUAUUUUCCGACAUAGUGGACAAUCUUAAAGACCACUUCUAUUGAUUUGAAAUUUCAGGAGCAUUUUCGCUAUUUAUCCUUUCAAUUUUAAAUUGUAAAAGUGGGAUCCUUUCUCUUUUUAAAACCCGGUCACCAUUGGUGACUUCUCACCAAACAAUCCCCUCCUCUCCUUCAUUUCUUUUCAACGAAUUAGAAAACACUUUCUUUUCACACUCUCUCUC